ensembl:lincRNA
CCUGGGUUUAAAUUCCAACUCACCAUUUACAGCUGUGUGAUCUUGGGCAAAUCACAUGGUCUCUUUAGCCCUCCAUUUCUUCAUCUAUAACAUACCUACUUCUUUUCUAUGGCAGACUCACAUAUUUUUUCCACGGGGCAAGCUGUGAAGUAACCAAGUAAGCAAAACACAAAGCCAAGUCAUUGAUGUCUGAUCAUUGUGCCUGGUGGAUGUUGAUAGAAUGGGACCGAUUUCUCCCUGGAUUGGACCAAGAUCACGAGCAGCUUCUGGAUUGUGACUUAAGGGACAAAAGAGUUAACAAGAAUUGCAGGUUGGAGAUUCCCACGCUGUUUAGUGAGAUGUCAGAGGAAGACUCCAACAAACGCAGAAGAGUGCUGCGCAGGAGAACGAAUCAGCCUAACACCAAACUCAUGGUGACAACCAGCCCGAUGCUUUGGUCAUCCAUCAUCAUGAAUAAAAGAUGCUGUUGGGCCAAGGAUCUCCCAAAAGGCAGAACAUCUUGAAAAAUGUGUUCCAGUGAUUUCAAACCACUUUCAGAUCCUUGCUAGUAAGCAAGUGUCGGCCUCCCAUCAUCCAGAGGUUUUUGAAACACUGACAGACACAAGUCCUGAUUUGAUGGCGGUAUCAGAAGUGUGAUUUUCAUAUGAACAAGCCCAUGUGCAAAAGAAAGUUCUUGCUACCACCUCAAGGGUCCUCAUUGCGGGCACUUUCCAGCUUUAGUCAUGUGAUGCCAGCACUAGACAUGACUCUGGCCUAUUUGAAGGCCUAAAGCACUGGAUGAUUUAGCUUUUUAUAAAGCACCUUAGUUACUCCGCCUUCCCCCAUACCACCCCUGGCUCAGACGAGCCGUCAGCAUCCUAAGAAAUGAUGCUCUGUGUACUCUAGGAUACCAGAUGACAGGACAUCGAUGAAUAAAACAAGGAGCAUUUCAGACUGCAAAUGCACACUGCUGGAAUGAAAGCAAGAACUGAAAUGUAUCAUGGGGAUCUAAAGGGAAGACUUAAAGCCCAGAUGGAUGAAGCCAUUUGCUCAUGAUCAACCCGACGGUACCAGAGAGGUGUUCCCAAAACCCAGACUGUAAACAUUAAAUUUUGUAUUCAGUACACUCUUCACAUCCAACUUCAAAGUCCAGGUUUUUUUUUUUUUUUUUUUUUUUUAGUUGGGUUUUCUUAAACUGAAGUGCAUCUUUUGUGUUGUCUCAGUGCCUUAAAUUAUAACUUUUCCUGCAUGAAAAAAAAAAAUGAUUUCUCUAGAAGUUUCUCUCAUCAGGAGUCCAAAACGGUUAGCUCUUUAUAAUCCCAAAGCCAUCAUUUUGGGAGCCGAGGUAGGUCACGGUGCUGAUUUGCUUUCUCUCUCAGUGCCUGACUUUGGGCUUCUCAUGUGCCUGGACAGCGCUUUCUUUCUCUUCAGAUUUCAAAAGUCCUAAAAGCAGAGCAGCAGUUUGGGAGGUCAAAUAGCUAAUCUCUUUCUCUCCAUUUGCGCUCCGAAGUGCUCUUCUGAGGAGCGGAACAACACCUUCUCCUCCCUCCUGCCUGGGCUCACUGAGAGGGCGCUGGUCUCAGCACAAAGCAUCAGCAAAGUGAACAGGGCCAGGGCCAGAAGAGCUGGGCACCCACUGAGCACACCAUACAUGAAGCCAUCUCUUCCAACUGAAGACUAAGAACCAUCUCUUCCAGGACAACUAAGGAUGGAUUUGCCUUUUUGAAAAUUUGAGGUUGGACUUGCAAUAAAAAAAAAUAGAGAAUUUGUUAUUGAAUUGGGAACUUAUGUAUGGGAAGGAAAAAAAGGAGCUCCCGAGCUCAAGGCUGCACACAGUGGACUUGGCUCUCCAGAAAGGAGAGCUAAGUGGGCAAAGGUAACCGCUCGCCUGCACUGCUCACAGGCUCCCAGCCAGACCUGCCUACCAGACUUUAGGGAGUAAGUCACUCAUUCACACUACAGUAUGCAAUCCCGUCCCGUACCCUCCCCUCUCCUCCCCUCUCCUCUCCCUUUCCUUCUUUCUUCCUUCCUUCCUUCCUU